UCGAUUUGCCUCUAAUGUGCGCUCUCCUGUCGUGCAGUCUCUCUCCUGCUGUAAUUGCUCGUGGCUCGGCUUGUGGCUGGAGCACUGAAGUCCUCCGAGUAGUGCGCGAAGCGUGUGCAAGCUUCUGCUACGGAGAUCUUUGCGCCAUCACGAUUCAGAUUGAGGCUACGUGCGCAGUAUAACCACUCGGGCGGGGAGUGACCAGCAACUAGGGUGACUCCGCGGCAUCACAGGCUGCUGCUCUGUUUGGGAACAUAGUCCCCUUUUGGGUUACUGCUUUCCACUGGCGCGACAGGUCGUGGGCUACUGUGGUCGGGUUCUAUCGACGCAGCGCAGACCCCCAGCACUGCGCACUCUCACCUGCUGACUACCUGCACUCGCGGCAACACCGCUGACCGCAUAGGCUAUUUUGUGUUUAAGUUUUGAUUUGAUUUAUUUUGUGGUUGCAUAGGUGGCAAUGUGCAACACCCCUAUUUUGUGAUUAUUUUGUGGACGUGGGGUAUUCGUGAGAGGCAUACCCCUCACAUGUU